GGUGUCAAUUUAUUGUUUCCAACCACUUCCUAGAUUCUAAAUUUAUUCGUCGCAAAGUUAUUUUUCAUCAACAAUAAUUUCAAUUUGUCAGAUGGUAUUUACAAAUACAAAUGUUUUUCAUUGUGCUGCCAUAUAUCAUAAUACAAUUUUAUAGAAAAUAAGCAACGACUGUGAAACGCAAAUGACUACUCAGUCAACAACAAUGGUUAGCUAAGAUUUUAUUUGGGCACAACAUAAGUACGAACUGUGAAUCCGGGCAUUAGUUCUUUCAAGUACAACUACUUUCUGCAUUGGAAUAUUCUUCGCAUAUGGUUCGUAAAAUCUCAACCCAUCCGCUUUUUUUCAUUCCGAAGGGAAUCAAUAAGGAAAGGAUAUGGACAAAUUUUUCGAUCGAAACGGAUUCAUUGAUUAGACCCAUUAUUGCUUUAAAAUAUUGUAACGAAAAUGGUACCAGAACAAACUAGAAUUAACAAUCGAAAUUGAUAGCUUGCCAGAUUUAUCCCGACAUCGAUAUUCCCAGUUGCCAGAAUGUUCGAGUGUGCCCAGCAAGUCAUGGGUACUGAAACUCCAACACAUUCAAAAAAAUUUUAAUAACACCACUACAUACACACAUGUGCAACAAAAGGCGAAAUGUGCAUAAACAUUUACCUCAACUCUUCUUUCGUACAGCACCCUGAAUGAUAGAAAGUAACAACCAAAGUUCUCGCGUUUAAACAAGUUUUGUUUUGAGCUUUCUGCAGCCUAAUUAAAGUUUAAAUUAUUGAAGCACGCAUUUUAAAAACGUAAAAUAAAAGUUUUCUAAAGCCAAAAUAUGGAAUUGAAGAGGGUGAUACAGUAAUACUUCAUUGCAUUGUCAAUUCGAAGCACGUAAUAGAAGCUACGCCAGCAAUGGUCAACAUCAAGGGCGAAACCAUUGAAUACAUAUUUCAAAACUCAAACGGCGCGUUAAAGGUACGCAACCUAAUUGGUGUCACUUAUGGUAGCAGCGUAGAACUUUCGAAUCGAUGGAAUAUGUGCUGCAAGCAAAUCCAGAACUAUGGAUGCAAACGCUGCUACAUCGAACACAAACCAUUUACACACCAGAUAAUAGGUUUAUAGUAUGUUUACAUAUGAAAAUAAUCUCGUUCUAAGCUCGUUCAAUAAUCUAACCGUUUACAUAUAGCCAAAUGAGAUUAUCAAUUGACAAAUGUGUUGCAUUUGUUGUUGUAUUACACAUAUUUCUCUCGCUGUCGGCCAUUGUUGUUUACAUUUUCAUUUUCAUUUGACAUUUCUCCUUUUCUUCGCAAAAUUAUCGAUAAGCCCAGGAAUAACACCGAAAAUCUAGUUGUAUAUGUAUGUAUGUAAUUGGCGUUGCAACCGUUUAGCCGGUUAUAGCCGAAUCGACGAUAGUGCGCCACCUCUCUCUCUCCUUCGCAGUUCGGCUUCCUCCGGCGGGUACUGCAUCGAAUACUUUCAGAGCUGGAGUGUUUUCUUCCAUCCGUACAACUUGACCUAGCCAGCGUAGCCGCUGUCUUUUUAUUCGCUGAACUAUGUCAAUGUCGUCGUAUAACUCGUACAGCUCAUCGUUCCAUCGUCUGCGGUAUUCGCCGUUGCCAAUGUUCUGAGGACCAUAAAUCUUGCGCAAAAUUUUCCUCUCGAAAACUCCUAGUGUCGUCUCAUCUGAUGUUGACAUCGUCCAAGCUUCUGCACCGUAAAGCAGGACGGGAAUGAUAAGCGAGUUGUAUAUAACGAGAUAAUUUUAUAAUCUCGGAUUAUCCAGAGAGGAAUUUUGUAUGGGAAAUCUCGUUUCCUAAUUACAGAUUAUAACCGUUUAUCAUUGCGACGAGUGUAAACUUUGUUUUGCCAAUGAGCUAGUGGGCAAAGCAGUUGCAGUAUUUUUAGAAUUACCGGCCCCUCAGUUGGCCGUGCCAUUAGCAGCUAAAACUCAGAAAUUAAAGGUUAAAUUUAAGUGAAUGUUUGUGAUCAUAGAAAUUUAAAAACUUCUUGCAUGUUCAAUUAGGACUUUUUUGAUUCAUUUUCACCUUGUAUUGAGCAAUCAUAACGUUGUUGUAUCGCUUUACAAGGACAUGGAUUCACCGAAAUUAGAUCAAUGAAAAUACUACAGCAAGAGUAUGGAUGUUAUGACUAGAACGUUGCCCGUGCUAUAUUUAGAAUUCCUGAAACAUAAAGUAAUUAUUACCAACUUUAAUGUUGUAAAAAUUCAAAUUUUACUUUAUAUUUUAUAGAAACCCUCCUCCCAGAAA